rnacentral:miRNA from 1 species
AAUCUCAUUGACCGGAAGGGAUUCCUUCCAGUUGAUGAGGUAUAACAACCUCAUCGACCGGAAGGGAUUCCUUCUGGUUGAUGAGGUAUAACAUCCUCAUCAACAGAAGGAAUCCCUUCCAAUCGAUGAGGUAUAACAAUCUCAUCGACCAGCAGGAAUCCGUUCCGGUCAUUGAGGUU